UGUGGGAGCUGGCUUGCCUGCGAUAGCGGUAUUGGAUUCGCCAUCGCCAUCGCAGGCAAGCCAGCUCCCACA
rnacentral:misc_RNA from 2 species